AAACCAAAUACAAUACAUUCUUUUCACUACAUGUAAAUAGUUGCAUUUGACUGAAAGCUAAAGCUACAUGCUUAAUACUAAUUGAAGCUACCAAUCAACUACCCCAUACACAGAUAGCUAGAUCUACAUAAAUAAACUCGGGAUGGGAAGCUAAAGCUACAUGCUUAAUACUAAUUGAGGCUACCAAUCGACUACCCCAUACACAGAUAGCUAGAUCUACAUAAAUAAACUCGGGAUGGGACCGGUCGGGUUGCAUCGCGGACCGAUCUGCCUGAAGUCACAAAGCUCCUAUGCCGGAGCUAAGUUUAUUCGUCUAAUUAUUUAUAAACUUGGUGCGUACACGUGUAAAGAUUUAAGACAAAUUC
rnacentral:lncRNA from 1 species